GACGAACCGUGCAAACGUUGUUCGGAAUCACUGGGCUUAAAGGGCGCGUAGGCGGGCAUUUAAGUCAGGGGUGAAAUCCCCCAGCUCAACUGGGGAACUGCCUUUGAUACUGGGUGCCUCGAGUGAGGUAGGGGCGUGCGGAACUGAUGGUGGAGCGGUGAAAUGUGUUGAUAUCAUCAGGAACUCCGGUGGCGAAAGCGGCGCGCUGGACCUCUUCUGACGCUGAGGCGCGAAAGCUAGGGGAGCAAACGGG
rnacentral:rRNA from 1 species